GGAUGCAUUACUGGACAAUUACUCCUUUGGUAGUGGACUACUUGACUACUACAUGCAUGUAUACUAUAGUGAUAUAUAUAUAUAUAUAUAUAUAUAUUUGUAUGGUUGUAUUAAUCGUACGUCGUCUGUGCUCACUGCCAAAGGAGAUUUGUCCUGCAAUUCAUCA
rnacentral:pre_miRNA from 1 species